UGUUGCGAGACCAGCUUCUCUUACUUCUCUCCUUACUCCUCCAACGCGCCGGCCUCCGGCCUAUUUCCGGCGAAGAUUCCUCCUCCGGCCGCAUUUUCCCGCUGGAUUCUCUGCGAAGAGCAGGGUUUCGAGUCCGGCUGAGACGGACGACCGAGUGGCUAGCCUGAAGAGCCGAGUUAACUAAGAAAGGGUCGUCACUCCUCGGUCUCAGGUUCAAUGUCUGGUACCUCGAUGUUAUUUUUAACGCUGAGCUUGCGGAUUAUGGUCCGGUUCGUGGCAUAUGGUUAUUCGCCCGUACGGUUAUGCCAUUUGGGAGGCUAUUCAGGAUGACUUGAAUGUUAGGUUCAAGGAGGCACGGCAUGGUAACAUGUGCUUUCCGCAGGACGCAUUGGCAAUUUGUCAGUGUUUUACAAUUUGAACCAUACAACUGCAGUUUAUGCGAUACUCUUCCAUAUAGAAAGAAACUAGCCGUGUGGAGGGCUUCAGUCCAGAGUUAGCUAUUGUUACCAUUAGGGAAGGGAAGGAACUGGAAUAGAAACUUGUGGUAUGCAGAUAAUCAGCAGUUGUAUGAAUCUCUGACUGACUAUAGUUGGUGAUAGUACUGGUUCGAGUCCGUGGAAACUUAUGACCUGAGUUCUGGCUUUGAUUGUUGCACUUCUUGAGGUUGUGGCAGGUUCGACCAACAAGUGAAACCAUUGUGAAUCACAUGUUUCCUCACUGGCUCUAUGGUUACCAUGAUCUUCCCCUCAUGAUCAA